rnacentral:rRNA from 1 species
UACGAAGGGGGCUAGCGUUGCUCGGAAUCACUGGGCGUAAAGGGUGCGUAGGCGGGUCUUUAAGUCAGGGGUGAAAUCCUGGAGCUCAACUCCAGAACUGCCUUUGAUACUGAAGAUCUUGAGUUCGGAGAGGUGAGUGGAACUGCGAGUGUAGAGGUGAAAAUUCGUAGAUAUCGGAGGAACACCAGUGGCGAAGGCGACCAUCUGGACGAUACUGACGCUGAGACGACGAAAGCGGUGGGGAGCAAACAGGGAUUAAGAAUC